GUGGUUUGCAACAAGCUUGGUCUGUU
rnacentral:piRNA from 1 species